GAUUCCUGCCGCAAGCUUGUAGCUCAUCCUUGGGAAGCGGAGAACGUGGGCAGACUACCCCAUGGGAUGGUCAGUCUUCCUUCCUUUGCCACCUGGGUUUAUAAAGUGGGGAUGCCGAAAUGCAAUCCUUAGUUCCCCCGUCUUCAUCCUCUAGCCCUCUCACACCUCUGCGGUAGCGCUUUCCCGAUCUUCCACCUCCCACCUCGAGUUAGGGCUAUCCCCACCCAUGGAUCGCAGAUCCAAGCCCGUCACAUACAAAGGGGAGGGAAGCAGGGAGGAGGAUGCGAUGCAGGAGCCAGAGCUAGACCUCUAUGGAUCUGAAAUCGCGGAUGAGGAGAGUGUGCAGUAGCUCUGUUUCUUGGUUGGUAGCAUGAACAACGAGUGGGGGCCCACGGUGUUGUUUUCGGUGGGCAGCCGGGAGGUCGGGGAUGAUGUUGUGCCCAGCUUCGUCAAUUUCCUCGCUGCAGGCUUGGUACCUCCUUUUUAUGAUCUCUUCCUCGUGGUGCUAGAGCACUUCCAACUCCAUAUGCUGCAUCUGCACUCGAACACGGUGCUGGCCCUGGCCAUCUUUGCCCAUCUCUGCGAGGAAUUCGUUGAAGUGCAACUUUUGCUGGAACUUUCCGGCAUUUCUACUCUCCUCUUUUAAACUCCAAGGACAACCAGACUUCUGGCUGCAUGACCUUCCGCCUUGGCGGGAAGGAGGAUAAGAGCUUCAUUUUGAUGAAGUUGUACUCUCACGUGAAGGAAUGGCGCUGGAGCCAACUGCUCGUCAAGGCCUUGCGAGGCCCCACUCUGCUACAUGAACCAAGAGCUCCUCCUCGCAUGAUGAAGCGCAACUACUGGAAAAGGCGAGCCGCCGGGAAGGGUUUCGAACCAGUUAUUUGGUGCAUCCGGUUGUUUGCAGAGUGGGGUUUGGACGGUCGUAUGGUGGCGAGCAGCUUCGCAUCACCCCCCAUCCAAGUCUGGAAGGAGCUAACUUGGCUGCUCGAGAGCGCUAACGACCCCAAGCGUCUUCACCGGGCCGCCAUCGACAAUGAGAGCCUGUCGUGGAUCAUGGAGACUCUGUUCCAUUCCGAUGUGGUUCUAGCUCUGCCGCCCUAUGUCGGGAUGCUCCACUCCAAUGUGGAAUGCGGGACCUUACUGAGGGGGGUUGUCGAAAGCGAUAAGUGGGGCAUCGUCCCCGCCGGUAAGGCUGGCACAGACCGGCCGAACCCCUUCCCACGACGGGCGAGCUUGCCUGGCCCCAAUUCUGGAGAGGCCGGGGAGGAAGAUGAAGAUGAGGGUAAGGACGACUCAGAGGGUUCCUCCAGCAUCCUCGUCAUGAGGGAGGCACCUCCGUCGUAGGACCGGAAGCGUGCUUCUCCCUUCCAUCGAUCUCUAGUCCUGCCACCGGGGCUCAGCGGCGACACCACACGGUUGUCACCAAUUUGGCGACCAUGGAUGACGUCAGGAUGGAGGUGAUUCCUCCCUCAGCCACCGGCGCACCUUCAGACGAGGUCGUGGUGGCCCAAGCAUCCCCCGAGGCGGAUUGGACCCGAGCGUCUCGGGAACACACAGAUGUUCCAAAGGAGACUCCUCAGUCCCCACGGGGCCUAUGCUGACUUGCUUGCUGACGGCCUGUCAGAGGAUCGGGGCCACGCAUUUCCUUUGACCAGGGGAUGCUCAAGAGGAAGUGGUGCACCAAGGACGAGCCCGUAGAUCAUUUCUAGGGGUGAGGUCCUGGAAAAUCCCGAGCCACUUCUAAUCGUUGUAUUGUAAUGCACUAUGAUACGAUGCUAUCGCUCUUGCUUACAAGCUUCUUUGCUCUUUCUCUUUGCUUAAAAGCUUAUUCUUUUUUU